rnacentral:ncRNA from 7 species
AUCACAUUGCCAGGGAUUUCCAUU